UUUCCUUCAUUACUCUUUCCCUUCCAGUUGUAUCUUUUUCUUUGUUUAUUCAGUUAUUCUCUCGCUUUCUUUUUUUCUUUCUCUUUCUCUCACUAUCUAUCAAUCUAUCUAUCUGUGUCUAUGUAUCUUUACCUUUGUAUUUCUACCUAAUCGUUGUUUUCUGUCACUAAUCUAUAUAUACUUCAUCAUCGAUCAUUCUCAUCACUAUAAUUUCAUCAUCUUCAUCAACACAGGUAAAAGUAAUAACAAGAACCAAGCUACGUGACCUUAUUGUAAAGAAGAACAACCACAAAAGGUACUACUAUACUCACCACCACCACUACUACUACUACCACAACCACCACCAUCACCACCACAACCACCACCGCUAACACAACUACUGGUACAAAACCGAAGGAGAAACGACCGCCCAUUCAAGAAACCCUAGUUACGGACGACUGGGUACUUGUCGACCUCAAAGAAGAUGGCGCGAUCGAGUACGACCCUCUCAAGGACGACCCCCGGGAGGAGUACCCCUCCAAGGACGACCCCCUCAAGGCUGAACCCCUCGAGGACGGAUUGGUGUUUCUGGAGAGCCACUUUAAGAGCCAUGACCUGAGACUCGAGGAUUUAGUCUUGGAGGAUGACCCUGACCUCGCCAUCCACCCCCCUGAUGAAGCCCAAAAGGAGGUCGAGGAGGAGGAGGAGGAGGAGGUAGAGGAGGAGGAAGAGGAUGAAGAGGAUACACACUUCUUUCCGGAUUACUCAAUUGGGAGAGGCCACCGCAAGAAAGGGAACGCACUGGAGGAAGGGAAACGCCAUCACACCAACCCAAAGGAGACCAAGAAGAAAAAGCAGACAGCAACUAUUAUACGUGAGAUGACAGUGACUUCAAACUUCAACCCUCGCCUCCUCAAAAAACAUCCCAUAUCACAGUUGCCAGAUAGCCUCACCCACCACCCCUUCUGCCGCCGUCCCCGCAGCGCCACCCCGCCAGACAGGCAUCGUAGGAGGAGGAAAAGGAAGGAAAGGAGCGAAGAUAAGCCGGAGAACUGUCCCUACUGCCGCCAUAUGAGGGAUAGGGUCAGCGUGUCCAAGAAUAACGGUCGGUUUGUCUAUCAUUUGCCCUCCGUGAAAGAUGCGAGGCUUGCGUGACGGAGAUCGAUGGUGGCGGCGGCGUGGCCCAAGACGUACAUCAGGUUAUCCAAGGGGCGGUAGAGGUAGGCGUAAGUGCUGUUUUUCACCUUGUCCUCAACCACCUGGUACAACACCCGUGAACCCAGGCGGACGUGGCCGAAGUGGAUUCUGUGAGGUGUUGGAGGUGGUGGUGGUGAUGGUUAUGGUGGUGGUGGUAGUGGUGGGGUAGUAUUGGUGGAAGUAGUAGUGGUGGUAGUAGUUGCAGUAGUAGUAAUAAUAGCAGUGGUAGUAUUAGUAUUGGUAUUAGUGGUAGUAGUAGUAGUAGUAGUUGUUGUAGUUUUGUAGUAGUGUUAAAAAUAGUAGUAGCAGUAGUAGUAGUAGUAGUAGUAGUAGUAGGUGAAAGAGAAGCAGGAAGAAGAUAAGCACAGUGAAGAUAACAAACACUGAUCAUAAAUAUAUAAAAAAGUCAUCACAGAUAUUAAACAACAUUGAACCAGUCCUCGGUCACCUGGGGAAGGGGUGGCUGGGGUACAUAUCGUGCAGGUCGUCGUCAUCGAACACGAACACCUCGCAACCCAUCAGGGCCAUGGCCGCGUCGAAGCUGAAGUCGUGGCCGAGGCCGAAUGAGUACACCAGACACGAUGACCAGGUCGGGGCCACGGCGGGGUCCGAACAUACUUUCCUAAUGAUGAUGUUGAAGUUGAUGAUGGUGAUGUGAAAGAAGAACAAGAAAGAAAAGAAAAA